CAGUCGCCACGGUAAUACGAAGGGGGCUAGCGUUGUUCGGAUUUACUGGGCGUAAAGGGUGCGUAGGCGGAUUGUUAAGUCAGGGGUGAAAUGCCGGGGCUCAACCUCGGAACUGCCUUUGAUACUGGCGAUCUUGGGUCCGGGAGAGGUGAGUGGAACUGCGAGUGUAGAGGUGAAAUUCGUAGAUAUUCGCAAGAACACCAGUGGCGAAGGCGGCUCACUGGCCCGGAACUGACGCUGAGGCACGACAGCGUGGGGAGCAAACAGGAUUAGAUACCCGUGUAGUCCCUGUCUCUUAUAU
rnacentral:rRNA from 1 species